rnacentral:rRNA from 1 species
AGAGUUUGAUCCUGGCUCAGGACGAACGCUGGCGGCGUGCCUAAUACAUGCAAGUCGAACGAAGCUUUCUUUCACCGAAUGCUUGCAUUCACCGAAAGAAGCUUAGUGGCGAACGGGUGAGUAACACGUAGGCAACCUGCCCAAAAGAGGGGGAUAACACUUGGAAACAGGUGCUAAUACCGCAUAACCAUGAACACCGCAUGAUGUUCAUGUAAAAGACGGCUUUUGCUGUCACUUUUGGAUGGGCCUGCGGCGUAUUAACUUGUUGGUGGGGUAACGGCCUACCAAGGUGAUGAUACGUAGCCGAACUGAGAGGUUGAUCGGCCACAUUGGGACUGAGACACGGCCCAAACUCCUACGGGAGGCAGCAGUAGGGAAUCUUCCACAAUGGACGAAAGUCUGAUGGAGCAACGCCGCGUGAAUGAAGAAGGCCUUCGGGUCGUAAAAUUCUGUUGUCAGAGAAGAACGUGCGUGAGAGUAACUGUUCACGUAUUGACGGCAUCUGACCAGAAAGCCACGGCUAACUACGUGCCAGCAGCCGCGGUAAUGCGUAGGUGGCGAGCGUUGUCCGGAUUUAUUGGGCGUAAAGGGAACGCAGGCGGUCUUUUAAGUCUGAUGUGAAAGCCUUCGGCUUAACCGAAGUAGUGCAUUGGAAACUGGAAGACUUGAGUGCAGAAGAGGAGAGUGGAAC